rnacentral:rRNA from 1 species
GACGAACGCUGGCGGCGUGCCUAAUACAUGCAAGUUGAGCGCUGAAGGUUGGUACUUGUACCAACUGGAUGAGCAGCGAACGGGUGAGUAACGCGUGGGGAAUCUGCCUUUGAGCGGGGGACAACAUUUGGAAACGAGUGCUAAUACCGCAUAAAAACUUUAAACACAAGUUUUAAGUUUGAAAGAUGCAAUUGCAUCACUCAAAGAUGAUCCCGCGUUGUAUUAGCUAGUUGGUGAGGUAAAGGCUCACCAAGGCGAUGAUACAUAGCCGACCUGAGAGGGUGAUCGGCCACAUUGGGACUGAGACACGGCCCAAACUCCUACGGGAGGCAGCAGUAGGGAAUCUUCGGCAAUAGACGAAAGUCUGACCGAGCAACGCCGCGUGAGUGAAGAAGGUUUUCGGAUCGUAAAACUCUGUUGGUAGAGAAGAACGUUGGUGAGAGUGGAAAGCUCAUCAAGUGACGGUGACUACCCAGAAAGGGACGGCUAACUACGUG